GAGUGAAGUGGAGGAGGGUUUCCGGGUGUUGGCGGUCCUCGCCGGUUGUGUGGGGGGAAGGGUCGUUGUUCGCGUCCGCCCUUUUUUUUC